AAACGAGUUAUCUGAACCUUCGGGGAACGAUAACGGCGUCGAGCGGCGGACGGGUGAGUAAUGCCUAGGAAAUUGCCCUGAUGUGGGGGAUAACCAUUGGAAACGAUGGCUAAUACCGCAUGAUGCCUACGGGCCAAAGAGGGGGACCUUCGGGCCUCUCGCGUCAGGAUAUGCCUAGGUGGGAUUAGCUAGUUGGUGAGGUAAGGGCUCACCAAGGCGACGAUCCCUAGCUGGUCUGAGAGGAUGAUCAGCCACACUGGAACUGAGACACGGUCCAGACUCCUACGGGAGGCAGCAGUGGGGAAUAUUGCACAAUGGGCGCAAGCCUGAUGCAGCCAUGCCGCGUGUAUGAAGAAGGCCUUCGGGUUGUAAAGCACUUUCAGUCGUGAGGAAGGUAGUGUAGUUAAUAGCUGCAUUAUUUGACGUUAGCUACAGAAGAAGCACCGGCUAACUCCGUGCCAGCAGCCGCGGUAAUACGGAGGGUGCGAGCGUUAAUCGGAAUUACUGGGCGUAAAGCGCAUGCAGGUGGUUUGUUAAGUCAGAUGUGAAAGCCCGGGGCUCAACCUCGGAAUAGCAUUUGAAACUGGCAGACUAGAGUACUGUAGAGGGGGGUAGAAUUUCAGGUGUAGCGGUGAAAUGCGUAGAGAUCUGAAGGAAUACCGGUGGCGAAGGCGGCCCCCUGGACAGAUACUGACACUCAGAUGCGAAAGCGUGGGGAGCAAACAGGAUUAGAUACCCUGGUAGUCCACGCCGUAAACGAUGUCUACUUGGAGGUUGUGGCCUUGAGCCGUGGCUUUCGGAGCUAACGCGUUAAGUAGACCGCCUGGGGAGUACGGUCGCAAGAUUAAAACUCAAAUGAAUUGACGGGGGCCCGCACAAGCGGUGGAGCAUGUGGUUUAAUUCGAUGCAACGCGAAGAACCUUACCUACUCUUGACAUCCAGAGAACUUUCCAGAGAUGGAUUGGUGCCUUCGGGAACUCUGAGACAGGUGCUGCAUGGCUGUCGUCAGCUCGUGUUGUGAAAUGUUGGGUUAAGUCCCGCAACGAGCGCAACCCUUAUCCUUGUUUGCCAGCGAGUAAUGUCGGGAACUCCAGGGAGACUGCCGGUGAUAAACCGGAGGAAGGUGGGGACGACGUCAAGUCAUCAUGGCCCUUACGAGUAGGGCUACACACGUGCUACAAUGGCGCAUACAGAGGGCGGCCAACUUGCGAAAGUGAGCGAAUCCCAAAAAGUGCGUCGUAGUCCGGAUUGGAGUCUGCAACUCGACUCCAUGAAGUCGGAAUCGCUAGUAAUCGUGGAUCAGAAUGCCACGGUGAAUACGUUCCCGGGCCUUGUACACACCGCCCGUCACACCAUGGGAGUGGGCUGCAAAAGAAGUAGGUAGUUUAACCUUCGGGGGGACGCUUACCACUUUGUGGUUCAUGACUGGGGUGAAGUCGUAACAAGGUAGCGCUAGGGGAACCUGGGGCUG
rnacentral:rRNA from 1 species